rnacentral:rRNA from 1 species
UACGGGGGGGGCAAGCGUUGUUCGGAAUUACUGGGCGUAAAGGGCGCGUAGGGGGCCUGCUAAGUCGGGUGUGAAAACUCUGGGCUUAACCCAGAGCCUGCAUUCGAUACUGACGGGCUAGAGUUCUGGAGGGGAAAGCGGAAUUCCUGGUGUAGCGGUGAAAUGCGUAGAUAUCAGGAGGAACACCGGUGGCGAAGGCGGCUUUCUGGACAGAAACUGACACUGAGGCGCGAAAGCUAGGGGAGCAAACAGG